AUUGAACGCUGGCGGCAGGCCUAACACAUGCAAGUCGAACGAGUGGCGGACGGGUGAGUAAUGUCUGGGAAUCUGGCUGAUGGAGGGGGAUAACUACUGGAAACUGUAGCUAAUACCGCGUACCAUAGGAUGAGCCCAAGUGGGAUUAGGUAGUUGGUGAGGUAAAGGCUCACCAAGCCGACGAUCCCUAGCUGGUCUGAGAGGAUGACCAGCCACACGGGGACUGAGACACGGUCCAGACUCCUACGGGAGGAAGCAGUGGGGAAUAGUGCGCAAUGGGGGCAACCCUGACGCAGCCAUGCCGCGUGAAUGAAGAAGGCCUUCGGGUUGUAAAGUUCUUUCGGUGGCGAGGCGUUAACUACAGAAGAAGCGCCGGCUAACUACGUGUCAGCAGCCGCGGUAAUAC
rnacentral:rRNA from 1 species